rnacentral:rRNA from 1 species
CACAAGCGGUGGAGCAUGUGGUUUAAUUCGAAGCAACGCGAAGAACCUUACCAGGUCUUGACAUCCCGAUGCUAUUUCUAGAGAUAGAAAGUUACUUCGGUACAUCGGUGACAGGUGGUGCAUGGUUGUCGUCAGCUCGUGUCGUGAGAUGUUGGGUUAAGUCCCGCAACGAGCGCAACCCUCGCCUCUAGUUGCCAGCAUUCGGUUGGGCACUCUAGAGGGACUGCCGGCGACAAGUCGGAGGAAGGUGGGGAUGACGUCAAAUCAUCAUGCCCCUUAUGACCUGGGCUACACACGUGCUACAAUGGGCGGUACAAAGGGUCGCGAACCCGCGAGGGGGAGCCAAUCCCAAAAAGCCGCUCUCAGUUCGGAUUGCAGGCUGCAACUCGACUGCGUGAAGUCGGAAUCGCUAGUAAUCGUGGAUCAGAAUGUCACGGUGAAUACGUUCCCGGAUCUU